GGGGAAUAUUGCGCAAUGGGGGAAACCCUGACGCAGCAAUACCGCGUGAGUGAAGAAGGUUUUCGGAUCGUAAAGCUCUGUUAUUGGGGAAGAAAAAAAGACGGUACCCAAGAAGAAAGUCCCGGCUAACUACGUGCCAGCAGCCGCGGUAAUACGUAGGGGACAAGCGUUGUCCGGAUUUACUGGGCGUAAAGGGCACGCAGGCGGUUUUUUAAGUCAGAUGUGAAAGGUACCGGCUCAACCGGUGACAUGCAUUUGAAACUGAAAGACUUGAGUAUUGGAGAGGCAAGUGGAAUUCCUAGUGUAGCGGUGAAAUGCGUAGAUAUAGGUAAGAAGGCCGGUGGGGAAGCCGAUCUCCUGGGUUGACUCUGACACUGAGGUUCGAAAGCUAGGGGAGCAAACC
rnacentral:rRNA from 1 species